rnacentral:rRNA from 1 species
AGGACGAACGCUGGCGGCGUGCCUAACACAUGCAAGUCGAACGGAGCCCGCAAGGGUUCAGUGGCGAACGGGUGCGUAACACGUGAGGAACUUGUCCAUCGGCGGGGGAUAGCCGGCCCAACGGCCGGGUAAUACCGCGUACGCCGUCCGGAGCGCAUGCUCUGGCCGGGAAAGCAGCAAUGCACCGAUGGAGAGCCUCGCGGCCUAUCAGCUAGUUGGUGGGGUAAUGGCCUACCAAGGCGACGACGGGUAGCUGGUCUGAGAGGAUGACCAGCCACAUUGGGACUGAGACACGGCCCAGACUCCUACGGGAGGCAGCAGUGGGGAAUAUUGCGCAAUGGGCGAAAGCCUGACGCAGCGACGCCGCGUGUGGGAUGACGGCCUUCGGGUUGUAAACCACUGUCGCGAGGGACGAAGAUCUGACGGUACCUCGAAAGGAGCACCGGCUAACUCUGUGCCAGCAGCCGC